CCCGUGAACAAGUUGUUAGCGAAAGUGAGAUAUAAGGCAGAGGUAGAGCCAACAUUAUUAGGAAGUUGUUGACUGAAAUUGUUGUUGUUGAGGAAAAGCACGUCCAGGUCUAGAUUGAAUACUUCUCUUCGAAUUGGCCCGGAAAAUUGGUUGAACCUGAUAUCCAAGAAGGUUAACUGUCUGGCAGCAAGAACUGAAGUGGGGAAGCCACCAUGGUAGUUGUUGUUGCUUAGAUCGAGCUCGUAAAA
rnacentral:misc_RNA from 1 species